rnacentral:rRNA from 1 species
AGUGAACGCUGGCGGUAGGCCUAACACAUGCAAGCCGAACGGCAGCACAGUAAGAGCUUGCUAAUACGGGAGGCGAGUGGCGGACGGGUGAGGAAUACAUCGGAAUCUACUUUUUCGUGGGGGAUAACGUAGGGAAACUUACGCUAAUACCGCAAACAACUUACGGUUGAAAGCAGGGGAUCUUCAGAGCUUGGGCGAUUGAAGGAGCCGAUGCCGGAUUAGCUAGAUGGCGGGGUAAAGGGCCACCAAGGCGACGAUCCGUAGCUGGUCUGAGAGGAUGAUCAGCCACACUGGAACUGAGACACGGUCCAGACUCCUACGGGAGGCAGCAGUGGGGAAUAUUGGACAAUGGGCGCAAGCCUGAUCCAGCCAUACCGCGUGGGUGAAGAAGGCCUUCGGGUUGUAAAGCCCUUUUGUUGGGAAAGAAAAGCAGCAGGUUAAUCCCCCGCUGUUCUGACGGUACCCAAAGAAUAAGCACCGGCUAACUUCGUG